rnacentral:rRNA from 1 species
UACGUAGGGUCCGAGCGUUGUCCGGAAUUAUUGGGCGUAAAGGGCUCGUAGGCGGUCCGUCACGUCGGGAGUGAAAACUCAGGGCUCAACCCUGAGCGUGCUUCCGAUACGGGCGGACUAGAGGUAUGCAGGGGAGAACGGAAUUCCUGGUGUAGCGGUGGAAUGCGCAGAUAUCAGGAGGAACACCGGUGGCGAAGGCGGUUCUCUGGGCAUUACCUGACGCUGAGGAGCGAAAGCAUGGGGGAGCGAAACAGG